rnacentral:sRNA from 1 species
GGGACCUGGAGGCGGAGGCGCUCGCUG